rnacentral:lncRNA from 1 species
UUUGUUUAAAGUCAAAAGCAGAACAUACCUGAAGGUAUUUACCAUGGUAUGAAUAAUUCCGAAUCGACACCGUCGUAACUCCUCUAUUUUUUAGUGGGCCAAGAUGCGAGAACCAACACCAUUUCCAAACCAAAAUAAGAUUUGGCAUGAAAAGAACUAACUUAGGACUCACAUACCUCCCCCACACUUGGAGUUUGGAUUGCUGGGCAACACAACUCAAGUGUGUGGAGCUCAAGCUUCCUUUCGUAAUCGUUCCCUCACCAAGACUUACCAAGGUGUUGUAGUUGAUGUAGCUUCCAUGUUCUUAGGCAUCACCUAUCCAUCGUUCCUUUUGAUCUCCACCUGAAAUGGUUAGCAAACAAAAAUAUCCGAAGGAAAACUUUAUCCUAGAAACACGCUCUUGCUUUUUAUUCCAAGGAAAAAUAAAUAAUCGUCCAGGCUAUCUCCCGGCAGUGCUUUGUUUACGGUCACAAGCUCGACCAUGGGAACUUCCUUUUGUAGCUAUCAUUGACGAUGACGUUCCCC